GUCGUUUUCUUUUGUGAGUUGCAGCUUACAGUGAAUUCCUUUGAAUUUUUUAACGCAAGUUU
rnacentral:rRNA from 1 species